rnacentral:tRNA from 1 species
GGGGGUUUAGCUCAGUGGUAGAGCGCUUGCCUAGCAAGUGCGAGGCCCUGGGUUCAGUCCCCAGCUCCG